rnacentral:rRNA from 1 species
GUUGAUUUUAUGCUUGCAUAAAUGAUUUUUGGAUUCGGAGCGAGUGGCGAACUGGUGAGUAACACGUGGGUAACCUGCCCCGAAGCGGGGGAUAACAUUUGGAAACAGAUGCUAAUACCGCAUAAUUAGUCAGAACCGCAUGGUUCCGACUUGAAAGAUGGCUCUGCUAUCACUUCGGGAUGGACCCGCGCCGUAUUAGUUAGUUGGUGAGAUAAAAGCCCACCAAGACGAUGAUACGUAGCCGACCUGAGAGGGUAAUCGGCCACAUUGGGACUGAGACACGGCCCAGACUCCUACGGGAGGCAGCAGUAGGGAAUCUUCCACAAUGGACGAAAGUCUGAUGGAGCAACGCCGCGUGAGUGAUGAAGGGUUUCGGCUCGUAAAACUCUGUUGUUAAAGAAGAACAAGCAUGAGAGUAACUGUUCAUGCUUUGACGGUAUUUAACCAGAAAGCCACGGCUAACUACGUGCCAGCAGCCGCGGUAAUACGUAGGUGGCAAGCGUUGUCCGGAUUUAUUGGGCGUAAAGCGAGCGCAGGCGGUUUUGUAAGUCUGCUGUGAAAGCCCUCAGCUCAACUGAGGAAGUGCAGUGGAAACUAUAAAACUUGAGUACAGAAGAGGAAAGUGGAACUCCAUGUGUAGCGGUGAAAUGCGUAGAUAUAUGGAAGAACACCAGUGGCGAAGGCGGCUUUCUGGUCUGUUACUGACGCUGAGGCUCGAAAGCAUGGGUAGCGAACAGGAUUAGAUACCCUGGUAGUCCAUGCCGUAAACGAUGAAUACUAGGUGUUGGAGGGUUUCCGCCCUUCAGUGCCGCAGCUAACGCAUUAAGUAUUCCGCCUGGGGAGUACGACCGCAAGGUUGAAACUCAAAGGAAUUGACGGGGGCCCGCACAAGUGGUGGAGCAUGUGGUUUAAUUCGAUGCUACGCGAAGAACCUUACCAGCUCUUGACAUCUUCUGCCAACCUAAGAGAUUAGGCAUUCCCUUCGGGGACAGAAUGACAGGUGGUGCAUGGUUGUCGUCAGCUCGUGUCGUGAGAUGUUGGGUUAAGUCCCGCAACGAGCGCAACCCUUAUUAUUAGUUGCCAGCAUUAAGUUGGGCACUCUAGUGAGACUGCCGGUGAUAAA